AGGGAGAUUGAAAACGAGAAAUGGAAAUAAUGUUUUGUAUUGAAAGAAAAUAAUUCGUAAGUAACAAGUCUUUGGAGGGAUCCGUGUAUAAAUAGAAAGAUUCCUAUAGCCUUUUUAUCAUGUCAUAUUUUGGUGUCACUUUUGUGGUAGUUGUGCCUCUCACCUGCACUGCUCAUGGCUCUCUUCCUCACUCGCACUGCCACCCACGCACCCUUCAUUGAUCGCUCCAUACCUUUCCUCGCAACAUCAAAUUCUCUGCGUCAUGUUUCAACGGCUUAUGGGUUACCUCGUCACUCGCAAUCGUACUCGCACUCUCAAUCAGCUCGCCCGAGUCACGCCCUUCAUUCAUCGCCAUAAAUCUCUCCUCGCAGCACCAUUUUCUUGUUCCCAAACCCUAUCUUCCCUCCAAUUCUCCACCGACACCUCCGCCUUCACCCAACACCCGGUCAGGCUCCCGGACGAUCUAUCCAAAAACCUCAUUGUCCUCUCGUCCGAGUCUUCAGCCGAAGGCGGCGUCUGUCACGUUUACUUGGUCGGAACCUCUCAUGUCUCCCAGGAAUCAAGUAGACAAGUUCAGGCUAUAGUGAAAUUUCUGAAACCGCAGGCCGUCUUCUUAGAGUUGUGCCGGAGUCGUGCUUCAAUUCUUACCCGUAAAAAUGUGGAGAUACACGAACCCACUGUGAAAGAAAUGGUUACACAAUUGGGGAAAAAACAGAACAUUAUUGAAGUACUUUUUCGCUGGUUCUAUGCCAAGGUUGGUAGUGAGCUUGGUGUCCUUCCUGGAAAUGAGUUUCGUGUGGCAUAUGAAGAAGCCAUCAAAUAUGGAGGCAAAGUGAUACUUGGUGAUCGCCCUCAGCAGAUUACAAAUAGGAGAACCUGGAGUAUGAUGCCACUUUGGUAUAUACCAAAAUUCUUAUACUUUUCUCUUUCUUUUGAACAACAUUUUCCCAUCUCUGGUGAUUUUGUCAAAAUGCUGAAGGAAAUAGAAGACCGUGGCAUGCUACCUCUGAUUAUGCAGAAAAUGAAUGAGGAGUUUCCAAUUUUAAUGGAGACUCUUGUGCAUGAAAGGGAUCGGGUUCUUGAUGGAGGGUGCCUUGGGUAUGGUUCUGGUAUACUCUGCUCACUGGUGGUGUGGAGGAUAUUUAGUUAAAAUUAGACCAUGUGGUAUGGAGAGACUGCUAAUGAUUUGUAGUACCACAAAGGGUAGCAUCGACGGUGACUGCACGUUCAACUGACCAUUUGCUGUGUCAAAAGUUUAUGCAUAAUUGAGUUUAUAAAUUUUACGUGAUUUGGUCCACUCAGGUUCAUGUCCGCCAGAUUAUUAAACGUGGCGAGGACAAAUAGCUCAGUUGUUGCUGUUGUUGGAAAGGGUCAUCUACAGGGAAUAAAGAAGCAUUGGAAGCAACCUGUAGUGAUUGAGGAUCUUAUAAUCUGAC